GCUCCGGUGGCUCAAUCGGAUAGAGCGUUGGACUUCUAAUCCAAAGGUUGCGGGUUCAAGUCCCGCCCGGAGUA
rfam:Perkinsus marinus ATCC 50983 gcontig_1104296426516, whole genome shotgun sequence.